GAUGAACGCUGGCGGCAGGCCUAACACAUGCAAGUCGAGCGAGCGGCGGACGGGUGAGUAAUGUCUGGGAAACUGCCUGAUGGAGCGGGAUAACUACUGGAAACGGUAGCUAAUACCGCAUACCAUCAUAUGUUCCCAGAUGGGAUUAGCUAGUAGGUGGGGUAAUGGCUCACCUAGGCUACGAUCCCUAGCUGGUCUGAGAGGAUGACCAGCCACACUGGAACUGAGACACGGUCCAGACUCCUACGGGAGGCAGCAGUGGGGAAUAUUGCACAAUGGGCGCAAGCCUGAUGCAGCCAUGCCGCGUGUAUGAAGAAGGCCUUCGGGUUGUAAAGUACUUUCAGCGGGGAGGCGGUACCCGCAGAAGAAGCACCGGCUAACUCCGUGCCAGCAGCCGCGGUAAUAC
rnacentral:rRNA from 1 species